GAGUUUGAUCCUGGCUCAGAUUGAACGCUGGCGGAAUGCUUUACACAUGCAAGUCGAGCGGCAGCGCGGGGCAACCUGGCGGCGAGCGGCGAACGGGUGAGUAAUGCAUCGGAACAUGUCCAUGUCGUGGGGGAUAGCCCGGCGAAAGCCGGAUUAAUACCGCAUGUGCCCUUUGGGGGAAAGCCGGGGACCGCAAGGCCUGGCGCGAUUGGGUUGGCCGAUGUCCGAUUAGCUAGUUGGUGGGGUAAAGGCCCACCAAGGCGAUGAUCGGUAGCUGGUCUGAGAGGAUGAUCAGCCACACUGGGACUGAGACACGGCCCAGACUCCUACGGGAGGCAGCAGUGGGGAAUUUUGGACAAUGGGGGAAACCCUGAUCCAGCCAUUCCGCGUGAGUGAAGAAGGCCUUCGGGUUGUAAAGCUCUUUUGUCCGGAACGAAACGGUUACGGCUAAUACCUGUGACUACUGACGGUACCGGAAGAAUAAGCACCGGCUAACUACGUGCCAGCAGCCGCGGUAAUACGUAGGGUGCGAGCGUUAAUCGGAAUUACUGGGCGUAAAGCGUGCGCAGGCGGUUUUGUAAGCCAGAUGUGAAAUCCCCGGGCUUAACCUGGGAAUGGCAUUUGGGACUGCAAGGCUGGAGUGCGGCAGAGGAGACUGGAAUUCCUGGUGUAGCAGUGAAAUGCGUAGAUAUCAGGAGGAACACCGAUGGCGAAGGCAGGUCUCUGGGCUGACACUGACGCUCAUGCACGAAAGCGUGGGGAGCAAACAGGAUUAGAUACCCUGGUAGUCCACGCCCUAAACGAUGUCGACUGGUUGUUGGGGGUUUGACACUCUCAGUAACGAAGCUAACGCGUGAAGUCGACCGCCUGGGGAGUACGGCCGCAAGGUUAAAACUCAAAGGAAUUGACGGGGACCCGCACAAGCGGUGGAUUAUGUGGAUUAAUUCGAUGCAACGCGAAAAACCUUACCUACCCUUGACAUGUCCGAGAGCCCGAUGAGAGUUGGGUGGUGC
rnacentral:rRNA from 1 species